AAACACAUUCCUGCGGGUCAGAGAAAGUGUUUGAUAAAAGCAUAGAGUUAUGACUUUGGAAAUGGGAAUAUUCAGUCACUUGUUGGUUUAGAAAAGCUGCUUGGUGAUCCGUUGGGGCCAUUACAGUUUCUAAAUGAUGUGGCUGCCUUGUCCUGAUUCACUUUAUUUGAUGUAACUUCGUUAUACUGAAAGUUGUAGAUAGGAUGGCCAUUAUUAAGACAAAGGGAACCCAAAGCAGCAAUACCAAAUCAUCACUACUAGCUGGAAGAAUUUUCUGGUAGGAUUGUAUUUCCAAAUAUAUGCUCAUGUUUAAAUUUUCAGAUUACACUCUUGUUGUCCCUUCUCCUCAAUACAGAUUGCUAAAAGAAGCAGACAGUGAUUAAUUGGCAGAGGGAAAAAGGUAAAAUGCAACUGGAAGGGAAGGGAAAAAAGUAGUGAGAAGCUGGCUUAAGAAUGUGAUUCUGAAGAGAAGACAGGAUUUUGGCAGUCCUUGCUAAGCACAUCCACUGGAGUAGAGCCAUGAAGUUUUAAAAAAAUAAUUAUGGUAAAUUAAAAAGAAAUUAGAUAUUGGAUGUCAGACUAAGACUGCCAUAACACACUUCUCUGAUUCAUAUACCAGAUGUUCUGCCAGUGAACUAUUGUCUAAGCAUUGGAAGGAGUUAAGGUUUUUUGUGAAAUUCUCAAGGAUUUUAUGCAUAUAAAGUGGUAUUGUUUGGGCUUAUCACCAUUGCCCAAAGUUUGUUGAGCUUUUCACCAACCACACAGCAUUGGCCGCCUGUUUCCAUUUUCUCCUUUUAUGAGAUGGACUUGGACAUGACUAAUGCAAGCUCAGGAUUCAUAAAUUAUCCUGAAGUUUAUUCAGUGCCUUUCCUCAAUGGAGCUUAAAGCAUAGCACAUAAAUUUUAUCUUAUUUAUCCCUGGAGCAUCGCUAAGGAGCAACUAGGAGCUAUGGCUUGCCACACAGAUUAUGCUGGUGCCAGAGAAGUGGGGAGUUUGAAGCCACUUAUCAAGUA
rnacentral:lncRNA from 1 species